rnacentral:misc_RNA from 1 species
CACAUGCGGUAGCACAAUACCAUUUUGAGUCUAUAAUGGGCACAUUUAAUUGGUAUGACUAGCUUGUCUAAAGUUCAUCUCAGAAAUUGAAUCUCCUCUCAUUGUAAAUAAAAGUACAGAUAUAAAGGAAUUAUAUAAAAUAAUUGCACUAGCCAGAGGUUCUCAAAAUGGUAUUGUGCUACCGCAUGUGUAAGAAGUAACCUUGCUCUAUGAAUUUAACAUUAGAUGGGGGCAAAUUUUUUUUUUUUUUU